GAAAUGCGAUAAGUAAUGUGAAUUGCAGAAUUCAGUGAACCAUCGAGUCUUUGAACGCACAUUGCGCCCCUUGGUAUUCCGAGGGGCACGCCUGUCCGAGCGUCGUUCCAAACCCUCAAGCCUGGCUUGGUGUUGAGCCCCGCCCCCGCCCCACUCCGGGGCCCGCGGGCGGGCUUGGAAGUCGUCGGCGGUACGGUACCCCCCGAGAGCGUGAUGCAUUCACAGCCCCCGUCGCGGAACCUGCCGACCUCACCCCCCCAACAGUCGUUGAAGUCGACCUCGGAUCAGGCGGGGAUACCCGCUGAACUUAA
rnacentral:misc_RNA from 1 species